rnacentral:rRNA from 1 species
CAGCAGCCACGGGAAUACGUAGGUGGCAAGCGUUGUCCGGAAUUAUUGGGCGUAAAGGGCUCGCAGGCGGUUUCUUAAGUCUGAUGUGAAAGCCCCCGGCUCAACCGGGGAGGGUCAUUGGAAACUGGGAAACUUGAGUGCAGAAGAGGAGAGUGGAAUUCCACGUGUAGCGGUGAAAUGCGUAGAGAUGUGGAGGAACACCAGUGGCGAAGGCGACUCUCUGGUCUGUAACUGACGCUGAGGAGCGAAAGCGUGGGGAGCGAACAGGAUUAGAUACCCCAGUAGUCCCUGUCUCUUUACC